rnacentral:misc_RNA from 1 species
AAAUGCGAUAAGUAAUGUGAAUUGCAGAAUUCAGUGAAUCAUCGAAUCUUUGAACGCACAUUGCGCCCGCCAGUAUUCUGGCGGGCAUGCCUGUUCGAGCGUCAUUUCAACCAUCAAGCCCCCGGCUUGUGUUGGGGACCUGCGGCUGCCCGCAGGCCCUGAAAACCAGUGGCGGGCUCGCUGUCACACCGAGCGUAGUAGCAUACAUCUCGCUCAGGGCGUGCUGCGGGUUCCGGCCGUUAAAAGCCUUUUUUUACCCAAGGUUGACCUCGGAUCAGGUAGGGAUACCCGCUGAACUUAAGC